UACAGAGGUGGCAAGCGUUGUUCGGAAUUACUGGGCGUAAAGGGCGCGUAGGCGGCCUUCUAAGUCAGACGUGAAAUCCCCCGGCUUAACCUGGGAACUGCGUCUGAUACUGGGAGGCUUGAGUAUGGGAGAGGGAUGUAGAAUUCCAGGUGUAGCGGUGAAAUGCGUAGAUAUCUGGAGGAAUACCGGUGGCGAAGGCGGCAUCCUGGACCAUUACUGACGCUGAGGCGCGAAAGCGUGGGGAGCAAACAGG
rnacentral:rRNA from 1 species